GUGAAAUAACAGGAGUGGCAGUUGGAUCAGGAUGGCAAGAACUUGUUGCUUAUGUGAACAUAAUAUGUUAUUAUGUCAUUGGAAUUCCUUUGGGUCUUUUUCUUACCUUUUUCAUCAACUUAGGCAUGAAGGGCAUGUGGUAUGGGAUGAUAAUACGAACUACAGUUCAGACAAGUGCUCUCAUUUGGAUAAUUGCAAAGACUGAUAGGGACAAGGAGGUAUAACUUUACGUCUUUUACUUUAAUUAAUCAGGUAUGAAUUUUAAUAAAUAAACAGUUUUACACCAUUAAUAUAAAUCACUUGUUGAUUAUAAUUAUUUAUCAUGAUUUAAUAAUGUUAUAAUGAACAUCUUUAGAAGGUUUGCUACAGAAAUAUUCUGCGAAUAAGUAUGCCCAGACUAUUCCAUCCUAAGGUUGAAACCGGUAGGCAAGAAGGCCGUUUAGGGGAGUAAACAAAGUUGAGGCGCUGUUAGGGUAACUAAUCAAAGAAGAAAGCUGUAGUAGUGACUAGACGAGAUGAUUAGUAAAUCAUUAUUAUUUCAUAAUAAAUAAGUAUAAUCCAUUAAGAGAUUGGAAGGAAUAAAACUUUAGCAAAAAUGAAUAAAAUGAGUACCUACUUAAUUGAUGAUAAUGAUGAAUACAAGAUAUUACUACUUUAUAUACUAAAGGAUCUUAAUACUGAUAUAAAAAGAGAAAUUUAUGAUAAAUUGGUAACACAUGAGAUAAUAGAAAUAACAACCCAAGGUUGGACUGAAUUAACCAUACAAGAUGAACUUUAUUAUGAUAUGUAUGAUUUAUAUGAUGAUUUAGAUAUCGAAGAUUAGAUGUCUGAAAUUUGGAUAAGACGAAGUAUAAAAUAUAGGAAAAAACUAGUUAAAACCCCAAGUAAGUUAAGUAAACUUUUUAAAAUUUUAUACAGAAAAUUAUAAUGGACAA